rnacentral:rRNA from 1 species
UACAGAGGGUGCGAGCGUUAAUCGGAAUUACUGGGCGUAAAGCGUGCGUAGACGGUUAUUUAAGUCGGGUGUGAAAGCCCCGGGCUCAACCUGGGAAUUGCAUUCGAGACUGAAUAGCUAGGGUACGGUAGAGGGAAGUGGAAUUUCGGGUGUAGCGGUGAAAUGCGUAGAUAUCCGAAGGAACAUCAGUGGCGAAAGCGGCUUCCUGGACCAGAACUGACGAUCAGGCACGAAAGCGUGGGGAGCAAACAGG